AGGAUAAAAAUCCCAACUCCCUACUGUGAAAUUUAAGAUUCUGACGACCUGGGUCCUCUCUACCUUUCCAACCUCAUCUCAUAGCUGUCGCCUGCAAAUAUCCAAUUGAUGAAUCAUACAUUUCUACUUCAGGGAGUACAAGUGCAGUUUUGUGACACGAAUAUAUUGCACAGAGGUGAAGUCUGGGCUUUUAGCCUACCCAUCAUCUGAAUAGCAGACAUUGCACCCAACAGAUAAUUUUGUGCAGCUGUAUCACAAUACCUGAGACUUAUAAUGGACAGUCCUGGAGGGUGAGAAGUCCAAUAUCAAGGAGCUGGGAUCUGGUAAGGACCUUCUUGCUAAAACAUUACAUGUCAGAAGGUGAGAGAAAGAGCAAUAGCAAGAGAGGGCCAAGUUUGUCUUUAUAUAAUGCACCAAUCCCACCCAUGAAGGUGGAGCCUUCAUGGCCUAAUCAUCUCAAAAGUCCUACGUCUUAAUACUGUUACAAUGGCAAUUAAAUUUCACUAUGAAUUUUGAAGGGGACAAACAUUAAAGCCAUGACAACUCCCAUCCCCGUUGGGUCAUUCUGGUAGGGCCCAAGGCACAGGGUACCAUCUCUACCACCAUCAACCCUUCUGAUGAGCUCACUUUCAUUUUAAGAUUGUGAUUCAAACUUUCUCUUUUUGUAAACAUUAUUCCAUUUUCCCCAGUUACAAAAUAAUUUUUUAAUCAUUACACUUUCAGAAGUAAAUGAAGAAUGGCCCUAAAAUCACACACCUACCUCCAGUUUGGCAUGUCUAUGUUUAGAGAAGCUUGUUAUGGUAGUAAACAGAAUUAAAUGCAGCCAUCUGUUGGUAAAUGAAAUAUAUGUUGAGUAGCAGUUACAUUUCAGUUCAGAAAAAGAUUCUGGGCUUAAUCUAAAUGUCCUUUGAAAGCUAACUCAAGUCUAUUUGGAAAGAUUAGUCCUAUGUAUGAGACGUAUAUUCCAACACAGGUUUGGAAUCUGAAGUGCUCAGAUGCUGACCUGAAUGGGGAAGUUUCGGUGAUUGGAUCAGGUAAGAAAGUUGUUCAGUGUAGGAUCAGACACAUAUUUAUUUUAGCUGGAGUCAGAUAAGCCAAAAGAAAGUUAAUAAGAUAAAGGGAAGUCUUUAGGUACCUAUGAACAACCGGACAUUUUCUUUAAAAGCCCCUCGUAAUGUUGAGUGCCUUUAUACCCAUUUUACUGAUUGAGGAAACUGAGGUUCACAGAGAAAAAAUAACUUGCCCAAGACCUCAUAGCUAGGGCAAGGUAGUGAUGGGGUUGAAAUGCUGGUAUAAUUCUAAUCUCUCCAUGAAAACACAGAUGUAGCUCAGCAGGCAGGCAACUAGGGAUGUGAUUAUAGGCCCAAGGCUAUUGUGAUAUGUGAAUCAGUGCUGAGCAGUACAAAAAGCAGAUUUGUAAUCAGAAGGUCCAGGCUCUGCUACUCAUUAGACCUAUGACCUUGGACAAAUUGCUUGUUACUCUUUAACCCCAAUUUCUUCAUUAUUUUUUUUCUCUUUUUAAGAAAAAAAAAAAAGAGGAGGAAGAGGAUACAAUUAUCUACUUAACCUGAAAAAAGCUCCCCAAACAGAACAAUUUAGGAGCAAUAACAUGUAGCCUUUUUAUGUCAUGAUGCCCAGUUGCCCAGUUGUCCCAGUGACACUAGCACCACAGUGAGAACAGACACUCCAAGGCCACUGGUCUACUUGAACCAGUUUUUGCAGAACCAGGAGAGCAGAUGAGAUAUAUUCCAGAAUUUCUCAGUGAGGCUCAAAGACCUGCAAAGAAUGCUUUUGGAUAAUCAGUUGUUUACUUUCGAAGACAUUAAAAAAAUAAAACGGCACCAGAAAAAUUGGCCUCCCACAAAUCAGUUCAACUUCCUGUCACUAACUGUACUCAAAUAUUUUGUUCAUUCACUUGUGGCUGCACUUAGGCCUUUUUCCACGGCAAUAUGCUUCUGCAAGCAUAAAAGUGCUGAAAUGUGUGUUUGUAUGUGAUUUUAAAAUUUACCUUUGAAAGUGUAAUGCUUUGAAAAUUACAUUUAACCAGGCCACAUAAUUUGAUGAUCAAGAAUAGGGAGUUUGAAGUAUAAGAUAGAAAAAGUAAAAAUAUGUAAGGAAGAUAAUGAGAGAAAUUCAGAAUAUUUGUGUCAAUAUGGAUUAGCAUAAACUUGGUUUUCUCUCUGAUGCUGCAUACAGCAACAGGAAGGAAAAUCGACUACUUUAAAGCAAGUGAAUCAACAAUGAGCAAAGUUCACUAAAAUAAAAUAAAGUAUACUUUGAUGUUUCUCUAAUAUAUGGGUUUUAUUAUUGUGGUGACACAAAUGAAUCUUUGUCAAGGGUGAGAAUUCCCUGGGUAGUAAACUCAAGACAUUUUGACUUUUGUAGUAACAUUUUCAAAGCCAUUAAACAAAUUCGAAAGAAAAAGGUCAUCAGAUUUGUUUUGCAAUUGAAAAGAGCCUUGGUUAGCCCCAAUCAAUAGGAUAAUCACAUAAGACAUUUUAAAAAACAAUGUGGAAUCUUCCUCCAUUUUCAAAAGUACCUGAGAAAAUUAAACUCUUGCAAUAGGAGAAUUUGUGCUAAAUCUCUGCUUGAUGUAUAUGGCUUAACCUGCUUGGGGGUAGAAAGAAACCAAAACUAAAAAAAAAAAAAACAAACGAUCUCAUUUAUAGCCAGGAGACUUCAGGCCACAGAUGGUUCCCACUGCUCUCUUACAAGUUUUUUUGUUUUUUUUUUAAUUGGGGCACCAUUUUCUGUUUCUUUUUUCCCUUCCCGCAAUAGUCAUGACAGUGAAAGGACUGGGCAUGGUGUAGGGGUUGUAGGAAGGGAUACAGUGAAAGUUUUCCUGAAGAAAAACUCUGGCCUUGGAGCUGGACAGUUCAAACCCCUCUUCUGCUGCUAAAUGGCUGUGUAAGCUUGGACAAUUCACUUAACCUCAUCAAGUCAUUAUUAAUAGGGAAAGUAAUUCCUAAUAUGACAGAGGACAAAUAUCAAUGCAUGAGGAAUAACAACCUCCUGCCAAAGAAAAUUCUGGCCAGACAGCUAGAUUCCUUCCUUUUUAUUCAAUAGAUCCAGAAUUAAACACUACAAGGCAGAGAGUACAGCAGAAUUCACUGGAAAAAAAAUAAAUAAAUUUUAAAAACCUGCAAAUUCAGAGCAGAGAAUGACUAGUUCAAAAAAAAAAAAACUUUAAUAAUGUCUAAAAGUCUGAUGUUUUAAUUCUUUUUUAUUUUGAAACUAGCCUUUGUGUUUUGGUGGUGUUGAUAAAAUAGCACCCACUUUAGCCCACGAUGGGUUUUGAAUCAGUUGAGAGAGGUGUGAGAGAGAUCAAAAUAGUCCCUCAUUACUUCUAAAGCCUGGGUUAGAGACUUAGGUGGACCUCCUAAUACUGAACCACAAAAUCAGGUAGAUGUGCCUACUCAGUCAUAGAUAGUGCUAGAAAACCACAGUCCUUUUCCACACAGAAGGAACAGACUAGAACACAUAUUUCCUGUGGUAGCUGGCUCCCAAGGGGAAGGAGAAAGGAAGAUGCUGAGCUAUGCAUACCUAGUUUUUCUUGCAAACUUGGCAAUCGUGUACUUUAUUGCAUCCCAGGGGAAGAACAACUGAAGGUGUGGACAGAGGCCAGGGUUUAUGCCCUUACGGGUGUCUUUCCAUAUGAAAGGAAAUAUCAACAAUCAAAAAUGUGCUUCUGUGAGCAUCAGUCAUCUCAAUUCAUCCUUGUUCAGUGGAAUGAAUUGGAUUUACAAUAAUUUAUUGUAAUUAAUAGAACUCUGCAUCGAUAUCCUUAAUGUUUAAACAAUACAUCUCAGCAUCCUGAUGAAUACAUCCUGGUUUUAUUCUGGAAUGGUUUGAAAUGAGAUAUGAUAUGUCUGGAUUUUCCUUUUCUUUAUUAAACCUUUUAAUGCAUUUAAUUUCCAGAGAUGACUGGAUUGGUUCCAGGAGAGGGAGGGGAGAAGCCUGUAUACAUCUGUAAUGAUCUCUGACAGUGUGACAUGGAGAACUGAUUUUUACAGCAGUAGUCAAAAUUACAGUAAUUAAGAGAAAAUACCCACAUCUUUAUAAACAGAGUGUUAACUGAUUCAAAAAGAACUUAAUGAGAACUUACAAGAGGAAGUGCACGUUUGCCACUGAGUAUUAAACAUUAAUUAAAGUCAGAAGGCAAUAGUCAAAUUGCCUCUCCACUUCAGUCACUUGGCAAGGCACAGAAAUUGGAGAGGCUUUAGAAUCUG